CAGAGGGUGCGAGCGUUAAUCGGAAUUACUGGGCGUAAAGCGUGCGUAGACGGUUAUUUAAGUCGGAUGUGAAAGCCCCGGGCUCAACCUGGGAAUUGCAUUCGAGACUGAAUAGCUAGGGUACGGUAGAGGGAAGCGGAAUUUCCGGUGUAGCGGUGAAAUGCGUAGAUAUCGGAAGGAACAUCAGUGGCGAAAGCGGCUUCCUGGACCAGUACCGACGUUCAGGCACGAAAGCGUGGGGAGCAAACAGGAUUAGAUACCCUGGUAGUCCACGCCAUAAACGAUGAGGACUAGACGUUGGAGGGGUAAGCCUUUCAGUGUCGUAGCUAACGCGCUAAGUCCUCCGCCUGGGGAGUACGGCCGCAAGGUUG
rnacentral:rRNA from 1 species